rnacentral:rRNA from 1 species
UGCAAUNCAGCUCCGGCCGCCANGCCGCGGGAUUAGUUUGAUUCUGGCUCAGAACGAACGCUGGCGGCGUGGAUAANACAUGCAAGCUCNAACGGGACAGCGUUUGGUAGCAAUACUAAAGUUGUCCANUGGCGCAAGGGUGCGUAACACGUGGGCAAUCUGCCGAGAAGUGGGGGAUAGCUCGCCGAAAGGCGAAUUAAUACCGCAUGUGGAUAGUGAAGGAUUCUUCGCGACUCCNAAGCCGGGGCAACCUGGCGCUUCUUGAUGAGCCCGCGGCCUAUCAGCUAGUUGGUAAGGUAACGGCUUACCAAGGCUAUGACGGGUAGCUGGUCUGAGAGGACGACCAGCCACACUGGAACUGAGACACGGUCCANACACCUACGGGUGGCAGCAGUCGAGAAUUUUUCUCAAUGGGGGAAACCCUGAAGGAGCGACGCCGCGUGAAGGAUGAAGGUCUUCGGAUUGUAAACUUCUGUCAUUAGAGAACAAUUGUCGCCGAGUAACUACCGGCGGCUUGAUAGUAUCUGAANAGGAAGAGACGGCUAACUCUGUGCCAGCAGCCGCGGUAAUACAGAGGUCUCAAGCGUUGUUCGGAUUCAUUGGGCGUAAAGGGUGCGUAGGUGGCGAGGUAAGUUGGAUGUGAAAUCCCGGGGCUCAACCCCGGAACUGCAUUCAAUACUGCCUCGCUGGAGUACUGGAGAGGAGAUUGGAAUUUACGGUGUAGCANUGAAAUGCNUAGAUAUCGUAAGGAAGACCANUGNCNAAGGCNGAUCUCUGGACAGUUACUGACACUGAGGCACGAAGGCCAANAGAGCAAACGGGAUUANAUACCCCGGUAGUCCUGGCAGUAAACGGUNCACGUUUGGUGUGAGCGGAUUCGACCCCGCUUGUGCCGGAGCUAACGCGUUAAACGUGCCNCCUGGGGAGUACGGUCGCAAGAUUAAAACUCAAAGAAAUUGACGGGGGCCCGCACAAGCGGUGGAGUAUGUGGCUUAAUUCGAUGCAACGCGAAGAACCUUACCUAGCCUUGACAUGCAUUUCUAAGUUGGUGAAAGCCAGCGAGUGUAGCAAUACACAACUUGCACAGGUGCUGCAUGGCUGUCGUCAGCUCGUGUCGUGAGAUGUUGGGUUAAGUCCCGCAACGAGCGCAACCCCUGUGAACUGUUGCCACCGGCCCGUGAGGGCCGAGCACUCUGUUCAGACUGCCCUGUGAAACGGGGAGGAAGGUGGGGAUGACGUCAAGUCAGGAUGGCCCUUANGGCUAGGGCUGCACACGUACUACAAUGCUCAGUACAGAAUGAACCGAUACCGCGAGGUGGAGGAAAUCCAUAAAANUGAGCCCAAUUCGGAUUGGAGGNUGCAACUCGCCUCCAUGAANCCGGAAUCGCUAGUAAUGGNGUAUCAGCUNCGACGCNGUGAAUACGUUCCCGGGCCUUGUNCACACCNCCCGUCACACCAUGGAAGUCACUUGUACCNGAAGUAGGUGCGCUAACNGCAAGGAGGCAGCCUCCUAAGGUAUGAGUGGUAACUGGGAUGAAGUCGUAACAAGGUAAC